GAUGAACGCUGGCGGCGUGCUUAACACAUGCAAGUCGAACGAGAAGUGAAGACGGAAACCUUCGGGCGGAAGGCUUUAUUUCGAGUGGCGGACGGGUGAGUAACGCGUGGGUAACCUGCCUCAUACAGGGGGAUAACAGUUGGAAACGACUGUUAAUACCGCAUAAGACCACAGCACCGCAUGGUGCGGGGGUAAAAACUCCGGUGGUAUGGGAUGGACCCGCGUUCGAUUAGCCAGUUGGCGGGGUAACGGCCCACCAAAGCGACGAUCGAUAGCCGAUCUGAGAGGAUGACCGGCCACAGUGGGACUGAGACACGGCCCAAACUCCUACGGGAGGCAGCAGUGGGGAAUAUUGCACAAUGGGGGAAACCCUGAUGCAGCGACGCCGCGUGAGUGAAGAAGUAUUUCGGUAUGUAAAGCUCUAUCAGCAGGGAAGAAAAUGACGGUACCUGAGUAAGAAGCCCCGGCUAACUACGUG
rnacentral:rRNA from 1 species